CCUACGGGAGGCAGCAGUAGGGAAUCUUCCGUGCUGGGGGCGCUGAGGAGCACGCCGCGUGAGUGUGAGGUUUCGGAUUGUAAGCUCUGUUACCAGGGAAGACAUGUGCGUAACUAACUGUGCGCACCUUGAUAGUUCCUUGCCAGAAAGCCACGGCUUACUACGUGCCAGCAGCCGCGGUAAUACGUAGGUGGCAAGCGUUGUCCGGAAUUA
rnacentral:rRNA from 1 species